rnacentral:lncRNA from 1 species
CCACCUCAGGGAAUGACGCUCAGGCCAAUAGGAAGGGCACUCCAUUCCGUCGACGCCAAGGGUCGGGGCUCCGAGAAAGGCGAGCUGGGUGGGAGUCCGGCCAGGCUGGCUGCCGAGGGAGCGCUGGGCCCUGCUUGUGGAUGCCGGACGCUCCUGCAGCGUGGCGCCCGCGGACCCCGACUCUCGCUCCGUCCCCGGCAUCCUCACGGGCUGUUCCGUGAGGCCCGUUCCUUCUCUUCUGUAUUUCCCCCUUCGCUUUCACUGUUCGCCUUUUUACAAUUGCUGAAACCAUAAUGAUAGAAUGGAAUGUGUAGCCUUUCCGUUUUCUUUUCCUUCCUCUCUCUCUCUCUCUCUCUCCCUCUCUCUCUCUCUCUCUCUCUCUCUCUCUCUCUCUCUUUCUUUUUCUUUCUUUCUUUCUUUUCUUUCCCCGAAGGCUUAGCAAAAGGAAAAAGAAAAGAAUGCCGAAUCGAGUGCAGGUUUUCUUUUCUUUCUUUUUUUUUAUUUCAAGGGGCAUAAAACAAACCGCAGGUUUUUCUUUUAUCCAUCUACAUGCAAAAUUGGGCUGAAGAAAUGGAAUUGCAUAUAAAUGACAGCACGUAAAGAUUAAAAAUGCAUGGACGCAGAGUCUUUAAAAUUUCACCAUGACAUAUAAUAUUAAUCCGUUUUAUGUAAAAUUCAUACCUGUAACUUAAUUUAGGCCAUUCAGGCACGGCUUCACAUAGCCAGCGUACCCGCUUUAAAUGAGGUGAUAAGAAUACGCGGAGUCUCCUGCUCAGGCAACAAAGCCUUAAAAUUCACACUGUGUGUGUAGGAGGGCGGCCAUGGGUCCCUACGCUGUAACAAAAGCCUGUUAAUUAGGGAUGUUUUGUGUUAGAUUUCUAACAGAAGAGCUGUCCUUCAAGGGUCCAAAAUAAAACUGCACAGGGAACUCUGGCGGGGCGUUGUGUGUACCCUCCAAGAAAUAAUUGAGCCCUUUAGACGAGAACCGAACAUAAGAACUCUCAGUCGCCAGGGAAAUGAAUUUUGAGCGCUUCCCCAGACGACCCUCCUAC